rnacentral:sRNA from 1 species
CAGAUUGGGAAACUCAUCAAAUUAUAUGAAAUGCCGAGACAAAUUCUUUCUCUAAUGGCGGGCCUCAUUCCGUAAGGAAGUCGAAAGACCGGAGGAUUACAAAAGUGGAGGAAUUCUCAAAUCCUGUUUAUCGGAGUUUCAGCACACUCU